GUUCCCAGAAAAGGGCUGCGGAUCCAGAAAACCUGUGUCCCUCGAAUUCUGAGUGGAUACGUGAAGGACGAGUAAGAGCCACUGAGAAAACUAUGAUCCC